AGUGAACGCUGGCGGCGUGCUUAACACAUGCAAGUCGAACGAGAACGGAAUAUAGCUUGCUAUAUUUGUCAGCUAAGUGGCGCACGGGUGAGUAAUGUAUAGAUAACCUGCCCUUAAGAAAGGAAUAACAGUUGGAAACGACUGCUAAUGCCCUAUAUGCCUUUAAUACAUAAGUAUGCAAGGGAAACGCUUUAGUGCUUAAGGAUGGGUCUGUAUGGCAUCAGCUUGUUGGUGAGGUAAUGGCUCACCAAGGCUAUGACGCCUAACUGGUUUGAGAGGAUGAUCAGUCACACUGGAACUGAGACACGGUCCAGACUCCUACGGGUGGCAGCAGUGGGGAAUAUUGCACAAUGGACGAAAGUCUGAUGCAGCAACGCCGCGUGGAGGAUGACACAUUUCGGUGCGUAAACUCCUUUUAUAUAGGAAGAUAAUGACGGUACUAUAUGAAUAAGCACCGGCUAACUCCGUGCCAGCAGCCGCCGCGG
rnacentral:rRNA from 1 species